rnacentral:rRNA from 1 species
GAACGCUAGCUACAGGCUUAACACAUGCAAGUCGAGGGGCAGCAUCAUCAAAGCUUGCUUUGAUGGAUGGCGACCGGCGCACGGGUGAGUAACACGUAUCCAACCUGCCGACAACACUGGGAUAGCCUUUCGAAAGAAAGAUUAAUACCGGAUGGCAUAGUUUUCCCCGCAUGGGAUGACUAUUAAAGAAUUUCGGUUGUCGAUGGGGAUGCGUUCCAUUAGGCAGUUGGCGGGGUAACGGCCCACCAAACCGACGAUGGAUAGGGGUUCUGAGAGGAAGGUCCCCCACAUUGGAACUGAGACACGGUCCAAACUCCUACGGGAGGCAGCAGUGAGGAAUAUUGGUCAAUGGACGAGAGUCUGAACCAGCCAAGUAGCGUGAAGGAUGACUGCCCUAUGGGUUGUAAACUUCUUUUAUACGGGAAUAAAGUUAGCCACGUGUGGCUUUUUGUAUGUACCGUAUGAAUAAGGAUCGGCUAACUCCGUGCCAGCAGCCGCGGUAAUACGGAGGAUCCGAGCGUUAUCCGGAUUUAUUGGGUUUAAAGGGAGCGUAGGCGGGUUGUUAAGUCAGUUGUGAAAGUUUGCGGCUCAACCGUAAAAUUGCAGUUGAUACUGGCGACCUUGAGUGCAACAGAGGUAGGCGGAAUUCGUGGUGUAGCGGUGAAAUGCUUUAGAUAUCACGAAGAACUCCGAUUGCGAAGGCAGCUUACUGGAUUGUAACUGACGCUGAUGCUCGAAAGUGUGGGUAUCAAACAGGAUUAGAUACCCUGGUAGUCCACACAGUAAACGAUGAAUACUCGCUGUUGGCGAUAUACAGUCAGCGGCCAAGCGAAAGCAUUAAGUAUUCCACCUGGGGAGUACGCCGGCAACGGUGAAACUCAAAGGAAUUGACGGGGGCCCGCACAAGCGGAGGAACAUGUGGUUUAAUUCGAUGAUACGCGAGGAACCUUACCCGGGCUUAAAUUGCAACUGACUGAACCGGAAACGGUUCUUUCUUCGGACAGUUGUGAAGGUGCUGCAUGGUUGUCGUCAGCUCGUGCCGUGAGGUGUCGGCUUAAGUGCCAUAACGAGCGCAACCCUUAUCGAUAGUUACUAGCAGGUCAUGCUGAGGACUCUAUUGAGACUGCCGUCGUAAGAUGUGAGGAAGGUGGGGAUGACGUCAAAUCAGCACGGCCCUUACGUCCGGGGCUACACACGUGUUACAAUGGGGGGUACAGAAGGCAGCUACACGGCGACGUGGUGCUAAUCCCGAAAGCCUCUCUCAGUUCGGAUUGGAGUCUGCAACCCGACUCCAUGAAGCUGGAUUCGCUAGUAAUCGCGCAUCAGCCACGGCGCGGUGAAUACGUUCCCGGGCCUUGUACACACCGCCCGUCAAGCCAUGAAAGCCGGGGGUACCUGAAGUACGUAACCGCAAGGAGCGUCCUAGGGUAAAACUGGUGAUUGGGG